CAGCCUGGCGGGGCUGGGCCAGGCCCCAGCGGUGGCCGGGAGGGGAAUGGGAGGCCGCAGGGCCCCAGCCAGAGCUGGGCCAGUUCACAGCUGCUGACAUCUUGCUAGAGCCAAGCCCUGCCCCUGCCCCUGCCUGCGCCGAGCCGGGGUCUGCCGGGCCCCGAGAGCGGCUCUGGGCUGGGCCCCGAGAGCGGCUCUGGGCUGGGCCAGGCCUCCCCACCAGUGGCUGCCAGGCAGAGGUUGGGGCCCAGCGCAGCCUGCAAUCCAUCACCGUGACUGGCCACUGCCCGUGACCAUCUGCAGGCCUAGACAAGGUACUAAACUUUUCACUGCACAGAGGAGACCUGCAGAACUUAAUCUUCCCUCAAAAAAGAGAAAAAGACACAGUAACAACACGUAAAAAGACAACAUGAAAACACCAAGGUCAGUAAAGAAGGAGUCAAGUCUCAGAUGGAAAGAAAAUGAGGAGAUGCCUAGUAUUGAGGCUGAAAGUUCUUUUGGAAGAGUGCCUGUGCUUCAUGAUGAUUGAAGAGCACACCUUGGAUUCUGACAGCUACAAGGAAAACACAGAAUCAAAAUAAGAACUUUUUUUUUUUAAAAAAAAAAUAGUAAUAAAAAUAAGAACAACUUCCCACCUGAAGUAAAUAUCACUUUGCAGGAGCAGAAGUACCACUCAAUAAAAUCAGCAAAAGGAAGCACCAAAUGAAGGAGAGCAAUAAGCCCAAAAGGAAACCUGAAUAUGGGAACAGGCUUAAAAUUGUGCAAGUGGAGUUGUUAAAAAAUUGGCAACCAACAGAGACCAGAAACAAACUGAGGAAAUCAAGUGAACUGAUUAAUCUAGUCAGUCAUUCUGCUCAUUAUUACAGAACUGGAAAAAGUAUUUUGCACUAAGUCCUUCUCUGAAUGCUCAUAUCUGCAACAGCACCCUAAUUUUUACAAUUAGGGGAAUAAAUGAGGUCAGAGUCUCAGUGGAAAGAGAACUCAGAGUUUGAAGAAUAUUCUUUCAGUUUAGCAGACCUUAUAGAAAAUUAUUCAACAGAGAAGAAAAAAAAAUUACUGAAGCAUUCAGCUUUUUUGCCUGUUGUGCUUCUUGAUUGCAAGAUACAUCAUUGAAGAAAUAUUCUGAUAAUUCACGUCAGUCAGCCAAAUAAUCAGGUCAAGAAAUGUAAUAUGAAGUGUUUUCUCAACAACAAAGGAAAUGUUGCUGACAGAUGUGUGUGCUAAUUACUACAGAUUUGUUUAAACCAGACAACCACCAUCAACUGCAGAGACUUCAACUGACUGAACAAGCAAUAUGCAAGUGUGCAGAAUUCAUCACAGCAAACAGAAGAGGAAUAAUCGUGGAGAGUAGAUGCUGAAACAUCAGCCCCAUCAGCAUGGCUCCUUAGAUGACAUUAAUGCUCUUAGCAAAACAAGAGACAAAGUUUAUAGAAGGUACCUGUGUAUGAUUUCUGGAACAGAUAAGACCUUCAAAUCUUACAAUAAAUUCAGGAGCUACUCACAUUAAAAAAAACUAAAAAAGGAGACAUAGUAAAGACACACAAAAACUACAGUUCAGAAAGAUGUCAUUUCUGGAGAAGGGAGUUGGCUGUUAAUUUAGCAAUGUUAAAGGGACAAUAAUAAAACUUGAUAACAUAUCACCUGGCAAAAUGAGGUGACAGCAACAUAGAUAUUCCAAAGACAGUAAGAUUAACAGAUACAGUCAGCACAGAAGAAUAAAAGGAAAGGUCAGAACAAAAUAAGUAAGAUCCAGCUGGAACUCUCCUUAGUAGAAAAAUUUUAAAAUCUCUCUCUAUGACUAGAGGCUUUGUUAUAAAAUCCAGGUUAACUAAUUUUUCUAUCAUGAAUACACUUACUGGUUUCCUCUAUACAGCUACCUGUCCUAAUAAAAUGCUAAAAAAAUGAACUCUCUUUUCAAAAUCCCCUAGUGCUAUAUUUGGUAUAAAUUUUAGAAGAUCUAAGAUAAGGAACGAAAGACUGAAAUAUGGAAAGCAUUAUAUUUAUAUCUUGUUACUUUAUAAAAUUAAUUUCAAAAAAGAAAAAAAAAAAGUUUCAUUUUUUAUAAGAAAGGCAAUCCCAUGUAAGCAUAGCCAAGGAAAAAAAAAGUAUAUUUAAUUAUUUGCUCUGUGUUCUGAUGUUAGUUAAAGCAGUAUAGCUGCUCUUUGUUCCUGCUAAUCAGACUGUCUCUGAGUGCAAUCAAUUGUUCAAUCUAACUUUGCUCUUUGUAUAUCCAGGUCACACAGUUCAGUCUAUCUAGACUCACACAGACUCAUAUCUGCAGCACAGUUUUCAUACAAAGCAAUACUGGAGGAUUAGCUAAAUAUUUCACCUUUAGAAAGAACGUGAAUAUCAAUAGGUCUGUAUUUCUACAUCUCAUUUAGCAGCAACAGAGAUUUUCAAGUAACAGAAUUUACUGGGAAGUGAUGAAAAAUUCUGAUUGCCACCUACAAAAGUUCCCUCUUCAUCUUCUAAUGGCAUGGCAGUGUCAUUAUGUUGUUUUGGAUUUUUCCU